rnacentral:rRNA from 1 species
UACGGGGGGGGCAAGCGUUGUUCGGAAUUACUGGGCGUAAAGGGCUCGUAGGCGGCCAACUAAGUCAGACGUGAAAUCCCUCGGCUUAACCGGGGAACUGCGUCUGAUACUGGAUGGCUUGAGUUCGGGAGAGGGAUGCGGAAUUCCAGGUGUAGCGGUGAAAUGCGUAGAUAUCAGGAGGAACACCGGUGGCGAAGGCGGGUCUCUGGGCCGAAAUUGACGCUGAGGAGCGAAAGCGUGGGGAGCAAACAGG